rnacentral:rRNA from 1 species
AUUGAACGCUGGCGGCAGGCCUAACACAUGCAAGUCGAACGGUAACAGGAAACAGCUUGCUGUUUCGCUGACGAGUGGCGGGCGGGUGAGUAAUGUCUGGGAAACUGCCUGAUGGAGGGGGAUAACUACUGGAAACGGUAGCUAAUACCGCAUAACGUCGCAAGACCAAAGAGGGGGACCUUCGGGCCUCUUGCCAUCGGAUGUGCCCAGAUGGGAUUAGCUAGUAGGUGGGGUAACGGCUCACCUAGGCGACGAUCCCUAGCUGGUCUGAGAGGAUGACCAGCCACACUGGAACUGAGACACGGUCCAGACUCCUACGGGAGGCAGCAGUGGGGAAUAUUGCACAAUGGGCGAAAGCCUGAUGCAGCCAUGCCGCGUGUAUGAAGAAGGUCUUCGGGUUGUAAAGUACUUUCAGCGGGGAGGAAGGGAGUAAAGUUAAUACCUGUGCUCAUUGACGUUACCCAAAGAAGAAGCAACGGCUAACUCCGUG